rnacentral:ncRNA from 1 species
UAUCUUUGCAGCUGCAAAGCAAAAUGCUAUGCAACACAUAAAAAUCAUUUAAAUAAUAUUGGCAUG